AUGACCAUGGAAGGUAUUCCAGUGAGUGCAGCGAUGGGGGCCCUGAACUCCGUCCUGGAGAAGCUGGCCACUCUAGUGGUCGAUGAGUACAAGCUUUGCAAGGUGAUGGGCAGUGAGAUCAAAUUGCUCACAGAUGAACUCACGUUCAUGCAUGCGUUUCUCCUGAAAAUGACGGAGGUUGAGGAUCCUGAUGUGCAAGAUAUGGUUUGGAUGACGGCGGUGCGUGAGCUGUCCUAUGAUAUAGAGGACUCCAUCGACGACUUCAUGCAAGACGAAGACGCUAAGCCAGAUGGCUUCAUUAAGAAAAUGAUGCACAUGAUGGGGAUGUGGGGAAAGAGGAAGCGUCACCAUCAGAUGUUCCUAGACUUGAAGAAACGAGCCAUUGAGGUGGGCGAGAGGAGUGAAAGGUACAAGACUCGUCAGGUCUUCUCGAACACCAAAAAUGGAACUGUUGACCCUAGAGCUCUUGCUAUCUUUGAGCACGCAUCAAAGCUUGUUGGAAUUGAUGAACCCAAGGCCGAACUAAUCAAACUAUUGACCGAAGAGAAUGGAUGUGCGUCAACACAAGUGCAACCGAAAAUGGUGUCCAUUGUUGGGUCCGGAGGAUUGGGCAAGACAACUCUUGCAAACCUAGUGUAUCAAGAGCUUAAAGAGAAAUUCAAGUGUAAGGCUUUCGUAUCAGUGUCACGAAACCCAGACAUGACAAAUAUAUUGAGAACCAUUCUCAGUGAAGUAAGCUGCCAAGGUUAUGCUCAUACAGAAGCAGGAAGCAUACAACAAUUGAUAAGCAAGAUUAGUGAUUAUCUAGUGGACAAAAGGUAUUUUCUAGUGAUUGACGAUAUAUGGGACACUAAAACAUGGGAUGUUAUUAAGCACGUGUUCCCCAUGACAAAUUGUGACCCUUCCCUGGACCCUGCGCAAGCGGGAGCUACAUGCACCAGGUUGCCCUUUAUAAUAAUCACCACUACUCGUAUGGGUGAUGUCGCUUGUUCAUGUUGUUUAUCAAUUGGUGGCCAUAUCUAUAAUAUGAGUCCGCUUAGUAUGGUGCACUCAAGGCAACUAUUUCACAAAAGAUUAUUUGACUCCAAAGAAGACCUCCCUUCCCACCUUGAGAAAAUUUCUGAAGAAAUUCUGAAAAAAUGUGAUGGUUUACCUUUGGCAAUCAUUGCUAUAUCUAGUUUGUUGGCUAAUAAAGAGAGAUCAGAGCAACUAUGGAACCAAGUGAAAGAUUCAAUUGGCCGCGCACUUGAAAGGAAUCCUAGCAUUGAAGGAAUGAUAAAGAUACUGUCACUUAGUUACUUUGAUCUUCCUUCUCAUCUGAAAACCUGUCUCCUGUAUCUCAGUAUAUUUCCAGAGGAUUCUAUUAUUCAGAAGAAAGUCUUAAUAUGGAGAUGGAUUGCCGAAUGA
rnacentral:rRNA from 1 species